rnacentral:rRNA from 1 species
UACGGAGGGUGCAAGCGUUGUUCGGAAUUACUGGGCGUAAAGCGCGCGCAGGCGGUCUGUUAAGUCAGAUGUGAAAGCCCAUGGCUCAACCAUGGACGUGCAUUUGAAACUGGCAGGCUUGAGUAGUGGAGGGGGUGGUGGAAUUCCCGGUGUAGAGGUGAAAUUCGUAGAUAUCGGGAGGAAUACCGGUGGCGAAGGCGACCACCUGGCCACAUACUGACGCUGAGGCGCGAAAGCGUGGGGAGCAAACAGGAUUAGAUACCCUGGUAGUCCACGCCGUAAACGAUGUCAACUAGGUGUUGGGACGGUUAAUCGUCUCAUUGCCGCAGCUAACGCAUUAAGUUGACCGCCUGGGGAGUACGGUCGCAAGAUUAAA